UAACAGAUUCGAAAGGCUGUGAAACGAGAGGAAAGGAAAUGGGAGGAACAGAGAGAGAAGGCUCUCAAAGAGCAGCGUGGGACUCUGGAGCAGCAAAUAGAGGAGGCAGUGAAGAGAGGGAAAACAGAAGUGGAGAAGGAGAGAAGGAACGCACUGGUCUUACAGAGUAAAGUGACUGAGCUUCAGAAAGAGGCAGAGAAGGAGGUGGUGCGUCUGAAGCAAACUUUGCAGCGGUCUGAAAAGAAGCUUCAGGAGCUGAAGACAGCCCUCUCUGAGAAAGACCAAAAACACCAGAGAAGAACAGCCAAACUUGAGCAGCAGAGCCGACGCUGGGCACAGGACAUGCACAGCGAGUGUGUUUGCUUGCAAGAGUUACUUAAACACAACGGCCUGGCUGUUGACAACAAGAACUCAUCAAACAGUCCUACAGUGAGUGAAACUCUUCAGAUCCUGCAGACCCUCACAAAGGCCCUAGAACAGCAUAUUAAUGAUCUAAAAGAUGAGCUCAGCUCACAGAGAUGUGCUGCACUGCAACUCAGCCGAGAAAAGGAACAAGAGCUUCAUCUGCAGAAACAGCAGUUGAUGGAUGAACAGGAAAGAGCACUGGCUGCUCUAAAAGAGAAACUCAUACAGGAGCACAUUGAGGAAAUGAGCAGCAUAUCUCGAGCACAGCUGCACAUGAACCAUGAUGACACAGACGAGCUGUGUGUCCAUCUGCGCAGGCAGCUGCAGGCCAAGGAUGAUGAGCUCAGACAGUUGCAGAACAGCAUGACACAGUGGAAAGACAAAACCACUGCAAGACUUGCACACAAAUUUGAGCUGGAGCUUAAAGCAGAGCUGGAGAGGAGGGUCCCAGAGGCCAGAGCACAGCAGCAGAAGAGAUUGGAAAGACUGGAGAAUGAAAUGAGACAUCUGACUGGGCAAUGCCAAGACUACAACGAAUACCAGUCAGCCUCCACUGCUCUUCAGGGUGGCACAGACUUCCAAAACUCUCGAGUCACCCAAGACCCGACCUCAUAUAAACUGCUACAGCACCUUCAGAGUCGCAUUCGUCAGCUUCGAGCAGAGAGCCAAAGCCGCUGCCCCAGCCCAGUGAAGUGGGACAGGGAUCCCACAGACCUGGGUGGGUCUUAUUUGGACACGAUUGCUCCAGCCCAGGACAGCUAUAGGACAGAGGAUCACUUACCAGCAAAGACCGUCUCCAGUUAACAUUUACUUUCAACUAUCGUGAAUUUGUCCAUUAAAUUGUUGAUUUUAUAGGAAAACCAUGUACAAGAAAAUAACUUCUUAGUACCACCUCUGUGGAGCUCGUGAUGAGUAAAUGAUGAUAAAUAUAAAAGUGACCCUGGACCACAAAACCAGUCUUAAGUCGCUGGGGUAUAUUUGUAGCAAUAGCCCAAAAUACAUUGUAUGAG
rnacentral:lncRNA from 1 species